rnacentral:sRNA from 1 species
UAUUCUGCCCUACGGGGAAGGAUGAGAAGCUUCGACUAAGGUUCGACUCGAGCGUCAGCGAGAGAACGUUGCCGCAGGCAACGGCCCGAAGGGCGAGGCGC